rnacentral:rRNA from 1 species
AUUGAACGCUGGCGGCAGGCUUAACACAUGCAAGUCGAGCGAGCGGCGGACGGGUGAGUAAUGUCUGGGAAACUGCCUGAUGGAGGGGGAUAACUACUGGAAACGGUAGCUAAUACCGCAUACCAUACGAUGUGCCUAGAGGGGUUUAGCGCAUAGGUGGGGUAAUGGCGCACCUAGGCGCCGAUCCCUAGCUGUGCUGAGAGGAUGACCGGCCACACUGGAACGGAGCCACGGUCCAGACUCCUACGUGAGGCAGCAGUGGGGAAUAUGGCACAAUGGGCGCAAGCCUGAUGCAGCCAUGCCGCGUGUGUGAAGAAGGCCUUCGGGUUGUAAAGCACUUUCAGCGAGGAGGCGUUACUCGCAGAAGAAGCACCGGCUAACUCCGUGCCAGCAGCCGCGGUAAUAC